UCUCAUCUUAUCUGACGAUCUUGAACCACCUGCGCGUGCACGAAUGGCGAGCUACCACAUGAAGCCGGCCUUCCAGUUCCUGGUGCUUUUCCUGGUUCUUCUCGGAUGCUUCGCAUCUCGCGCUCAGAGUCAAGGACAUGGGCCGGACAUAUUCUCGUGUGAGAGGCAGUUGAUGCGGCCAUGCGACUUGUGUUACUGCUGCUUGUAUGGCAACAAUAAGGGAAAGUGCUAUGCAACCCAUGCGGUCUGCAAACUGAACUGCCAUCUGCCUAAAUUCACCCUCCCAUGAAGAACCUGAACAUUUCUUGUCUCUCAUGUAGUACGUCUGUAUUACUUCUUAAUGCAUACUCUGAAGAAUAAUUGGGCGGAAUCAACUGAUGAUA